UCAAUCCACCUAGUAAAUCAGUUUGUGUUUAACCUGUUUGUUUGCAGCUUCAGGCCUCGACACAGUGUCUGUGUGUGAGUGAAAGAGAGAGAGAGACUUUGGAUGCAAGCUACUGUAAGGGAUCAUAAAACUGAAGGAAAUAAUGACAGCCUCCUCCUGUCGCCUUGCGAUAGUCAGAUGCUUCUGAUCUGCUGAGAAUGUCUAGAGAUUUCAUAUUUCUUUUAAAGACAACUUCAGUUCAAUUUCAUUUGAAGGCAUGCUUGACUUGUGGAAGAAAGAAGAAAUGUGAUUAUUCGAAAGCUACAAGGAAUAUUGAAACAGAACUGCUCAUAAAGCCACAGAGAUACCAAAAGAAUGUUUUGGGAUUGCUUCAAAUGUACUAGUGACUUGUGAUAAAUGUCACAAUAAAGCAAAAAUACAAACUUCUGGAAGCACUCAGCAGGUUAGACAGCUUGAGAGAGACGCAGAGUUUAACGCUUCAGGUCGAAGACCUUUUGUUCAAAAAUUUCAUCUUCAAAAUUGAAAGUUGAUUUCAACAGUAGGAGUUCAUGUUGCAACUUUAAAAAAAGGUCCUGCAAUGUCUGAAACUAAAUUUGUUUCUCUGGCUUGGGUGUAUAAUUGCCAUGUUUCCAAGUUUACUUAAACUCAAAACAAUCCUGCAAGGCCAAGAUACAGAAUUUGUUUUGUAGGUUCCAGUCGCAUUAGGGCAGUGUGAA